ACAAUUUGAACCCAAACAACAACAAAAAAAAAUGAAAAAGAGAAGAG
rnacentral:sRNA from 1 species